AUUGGAAGCGCCAUCGGCUUGCGCGUCUGACGAGGAUGCAGAACCCGGUGACCGACUGAGCUGUAUUUCUGAAGCAUUUGCUAGGUUUUGCCUCGCUGAGCCUCGGGGAGCACCCAGGCGCGGGGCGGAGGACCCUGUCACAGAGCCGACACCUGCUCGCGCGCCCCUCCCCCGCCCACGCCGGGCCCGGGCUUGCCCUCCCUAUCUGCAGCGCCCACAGCGCCUGCCCGCCCCGCCCAUCCUUCCUGGGCAACCCAGAGGAUGGCGUGAGGUCUCCUGGAAGCCCCGAGGACCGGACCGGGGGCGUGGUGGGGCACUGUAGACCGGAGUUUUUAUUCUCCUUGGGCGCCGACACUCGGCUGCGGAAUCGAGUUUGAGCUCGGGGUAGUUGAAGUUUAAAUUGUAGCUGUUUCAAAGGUAGACCCCACCUCACCCCCACCCCUGGACCAAGACCUCUGGAAGCGUCCUGCCUGGAAGCCGCUUGUGGUGAGGGGUUUCCUGGGGUCUCCAGGUUCCCACUGGAGCACGCCUGGGGAUGCCUUGGGAUUCUGAGGAACCCCAUAUUCAGCACCCCUGCUUAACCUCCUUUCAAGAAGAAAAAAAUGGAACUUGGUAAAUUUCACUCAAAGGAGAGACCCACUAAUACCUCCACCCACCUCAUACCCAAUGACAGUCUGGCUGUCCCUCUGUCUUCGUCUGUUCAGGAUGAUAUAACAAAAUGCUAUAAAAUGGUUGACUUAUAAA